ACCUACGGGGGGCAGCAGUAGGGAAUUUUCGUCAAUGGGCGCAAGCCUGAACGAGCAAUGCCGCGUGAACGAGGAAGGUCUUCGGAUCGUAAAGUUCUGUUGAAGGGGAGGAAGAGCGGAGAGAGGAAAUGGUCUCCGAUUGAUAUUACCCUUCGAGGAAGUCACGGCUAACUACGUGCCAGCAGCCGCGGUAAUACGUAGGUGGCGAGCGUUAUCCGGAAUGAUUGGGCGUAAAGGGUGCGUAGGCGGCCUGCUAAGUCUGGAGUGAAAGGUACCGGCUCAACCGGGACAGGCUCUGGAAACUG
rnacentral:rRNA from 1 species